GGGGAAUAUUGGACAAUGGGCGCAAGCCUGAUCCAGCCAUGCCGCGUGAGUGAUGAAGGCCCUAGGGUUGUAAAGCUCUUUCACCGGUGAGGAUAAUGACGGUAACCGGAGAAGAAGCCCCGGCUAACUUCGUGCCAGCAGCCGCGGUAAUACGAAGGGGACUAGCGUUGUUCGGAAUUACUGGGCGUAAAGCGCACGUAGGCGGAUAUUUAAGUUAGGGGUGAAAUCCCAGGGCUCAACCCUGGAACUGCCUCUAAUACUGGGUAUCUCGAGUCCGAGAGAGGUGAGUGGAAUUCCGAGUGUAGAGGUGAAAUUCGUAGAUAUUCGGAGGAACACCAGUGGCGAAGGCGGCUCACUGGCUCGGGACUGACGCUGAGGUGCGAAAGCGUGGGGAGCAAAC
rnacentral:rRNA from 1 species